CAAAACAAUAGCUUAUGAGUUUUAGUUAAAUAAACAUUCGAACUAUCAAGAAAGUACAAUAUGAGUUUUAGUUAAAUAAUCAUUCUAACAAUCAAGAAAAUACCAUAUGAGUUUUAGUAAAAUAAACAUUUAAGACCGAGUAUGAAAGUACCUUAGAUAAGUAUCUGCAAUGGCGGAGCCAGCACCCGGCAAGGCCGGGCAGCUGCCCGGGCUCUUAUACCACCGCCAAGUAGAAUAUCCCAUCUUUCUCUUAUACCACCGCUAACUAUUCAGUUCUUUCUGUUUUCCGCUUAACAUUUUCACUCCCAUCUUCUUCAAAACCCUACGACGACAAUCUCGACGCCAUUCACAACGUUUUCAGAUCCAUGGUUACUAAGAAUUUGAAGAAGCCGAAGGAUUUCUAUCUUGUUGUUCAUUUAUUCUUAUAGGGGAUUAUAUAGAUCUGAUGUGAAUUUGGAGAAGUUGAAGGAUUUUCAUCGUCGAAGAUUGCAAGUUCUUGUUGAAGCUGGUCCAGAUUUGCUUGCUUUUGAGACCAUUCCAAACAAACUUGAAGCUCAGGGUAAUGGAUUGCUAUACCGCAUGACUGGUAUAGUGUAGCUGAAAUUUUCAAUAGGUGCUGCUUUCAGCUAGAUUUAAUUGAAUGAGAAGGCAUAAUCUUGUUCAAUUGAAAAUAAAGUGGACAAUAAAGACUAUGGACAUAUGGAUUUUUUUUUUUAAGUUUAUUUUUCAGCUGAGUUUCUUUUCCUCCUGUAACUAUAGGGACAUAAUGUUCUAGUCAAUCUAUUAUUGAAAUUGCAUUAGGCUUUGAAUAAAUACCAAGUUAAGGUGCUGCAUUAUUGAAGAGUUUGUUACAU